CGGCACCUGCCGUGGGACAAGAUUGCUCCAUCCCUGAGGAGAAAAGUGCCGCCGUGUGAGGGAGAGGGAAAGAGCAUGCGCGCUGGCGAUCCACACGGCGAUUCCUGGACCGUUCGCGGGCCGGAUCUAGAAGGCAAUUGGGCCUGAUCCACCCCGCGGACCUUAGUUUGCCGACCCAUUAUCUUACUGGUGGCAAGUUAGAGGUACUAAAUAGCAUAGCCUUGGCUACUUGGUGAACACCUAGCUUCAUGCUGGGUUGGGGAAAGUUAAGGCAUUGCCUUGAAAGGCAACGAGAAGCAUGGGUACCAUUAGGGAUGGUGGGGUAUGUUGAUGUAGAUGUGAAGCUACAGGGAACCAAGCAGAGGGCCUUCUCGGUAGUGGCGCCCUCCCUGUGGAACGCCCUCCCAUCAGAUGUCAAGGAGAUGAGAAACUAACUUUUAGGAGACAUCUGAAGGCAGUCCUGUAUACAGAAGCUUUUCAAGGUCUAAUGCAGGGGUUAGCAACCUUUUUCAGCCGUGGGUCGGUCCGCCGUCCCUCACACCAUGUGGUAGGCCGGACUAUAUUGGGGAGGGGGAGGGGUGAACGAAUUCCUGUGCCCCACAAAUAACCCAGAGAUACAUUUUAAAUAAAAGCACGCAUUCUACUCAUGUAAAAACACGCUGAUUCCCGGACUGUCCAUGGGCCGGAUUGAGAAGGCAAUUGGGCCGCACCCGGCCCCCGGGCCUUAGGUUGCCUACCCCUGGUCUAAUGUUUUAUGUUUUUAUACAUUCAGGAAGACGCCCAGAGUAGCUGGGGUGACCGAGUCAGAUGCUUAGUAGGAUUCCCUCUGCAUCUAGAUCCAAAAAAAUAACGAAUGGUUAUGUUGUUUGUACGUUUUUCUUGCCAAAGGUCCAUCAGAGCCACAACGCCAGCUUCCCUCACCUUAAAAAACCAGUGCCAGGAACCAUUUCUGACAAAUGUGAAGCAAUGAUAACGAAGACAGCUUCUGACUAUGCACUUGGACGGUGUAGACAACACCCCCCCCCCAAAAAAAUCAUGAGAUCUAUAGCUUACCCCCUCACAGAGCUACAGUUCACAGCACCCUUAACAAACUACAAUUCCCAAUAUUCCUUGGGUGAAAAAUGUGAUUUACAUGUAUGAUGUGUGUGCAGUCAGUGUCAUCUCCCAGCUGCUUUUCCGCUUGGGAACGCUGUUUUCAAAUAUUUGAGCCGAAGGGCGGAGAUUUCAGCCCUAGGCAAUAUGCCUGGCAGGCACCCUCGAGUCACAGCACGUUUCUUCUUAGACAUGAAGCCCUGGGAAGCAGGGACUGCCUCUACUGAGUGUAUGAAUUGUCCCACAAACCAGGACCACAUUCUAGGGAAAGCAGAAUUCCCAGAUGGAGCCCUCGCUGCUCAUUCUUCUGGGAAGGAUGUAUUAUUCAUUAUUUUUAUUUUAUUUUAUCAACUGGAUUUAUGUAGCCACCCCACAGCAUAAGCUCUGUGGGCGGCUCACAAAACAAACGCAUCAAUUAAAAUGCAAUAUAAAACAGUAAACGAAUUAAAAGCUGAAAGCACAGGAUUGUGUUUGCUUACCCAGGAAUGCUCGGAAGCCACAGUAAAAGCUUGCCCGUAAAUGUUACGGUCAGGUAGCUGGGGGAUAAAGUGGUUGUGCAAUUCAGCUGGUAAAUUAAAUGGCCUCUGGGUUCUUCCAAUUCAUUUUUCUAGCAUUACAGUUUUGAAUGUAAAGAUCUGUUAAUUUGCAAAGCUUUAGUGGAGGAGGAAUGGAGCUCCAGGACUUUCUCUCUCUCUCUCUCUCUCUCUCUUUUUAAGAGCAGGGGGUAAUUGACAGAACCUCCCUGCUCUGGCAAGUAAAUGAAGUGAUGCUAAUGAAGUUUUCAAAUUUGUUUGUGACAGAUUAGAACAGAGGAAGGCGGAGAAUGUGGAACAUCGUCUGAGCAAAGCCUCUUUUCCUUUCCUUUGAUGGGGCUUCUAAUUCUUGAUGGUG